GAUGGUAUAGUUCAGUGAUGGAACACUUGCCUAGUAUGUUUGAAGUACUGGGUUCAAACCCCAGAACUACCA
rnacentral:tRNA from 1 species